UUGGAUGGGGUCACUAUCAAUCACUCGCAAGACCAAGGAAGCCAAGGCGCCUUGGGUUGCCAGGGAGAUGAAAAUGCUAAAUUGCUGUUUCAAAGAUCAGGAUAGGGUUAGUGAUUUCUCACCCAAGUUCCUGGGAAAGAGGAUCAUGAGGGAAUUACUUAUUAACAAGGAAAAGGCAAAGAGCAACUUUACAAACUGUUACAGUUUUCCAUCAUCACUUGACUGCUGACAAGAAGCCUCUUUGAAUUCCAAUAUACACGAUCACAUUUUAAAACCUUCAAGACACCAUUUAAUCAGGAGUUGUAAGGCACGUUUGUUAGAGAGAGCUGCACUUUAAAAAUUAUACAGACAUCACCUGAAGUUAUUAAAGUUAUCAAAACAUAUAAAAACCUUCAAGUAAGAGGCUACUCCCCAGGAAACGUGUGGAGCCAGUGAAAGGAAGAAAAACAAUGGAAGGAAGGCUUGAAAAGUUCAUUACAAAACUACAGUGCUUUGAAAAAUAUUUCAAAGAUAUUAAAAUGAAAACUGAUUACAUGAAACAA